UACGUAUGGUGCAAGCGUUAUCCGGAUUUACUGGGUGUAAAGGGAGCGCAGGCGGCACGGCAAGCCUGAUGUGAAAGCCCGCGGCCUAACCGCGGGACUGCAUCGGGAACUACCGGGCUGGAGUGCCGGAGAGGUAGGCGGAGUUCCUAGUGUAGCGGUGAAAUGCGUAGAUAUUAGGAGGAACACCAGUGGCGAAGGCGGCCUACUGGACGGUGACUGACGCUGAGGCUCGAAAGCGUGGGGAGCAAACAGG
rnacentral:rRNA from 1 species